rnacentral:rRNA from 1 species
UGGAAGUAAAAAGUCGUAACAAGGUCUCCGUUGGUGAACCAGCGGAGGGAUCAUUACCGAGUUUACAACUCCCAAACCCCUGUGAACAUACCACUUGUUGCCUCGGCGGAUCAGCCCGCUCCCGGUAAAACGGGACGGCCCGCCAGAGGACCCCUAAACUCUGUUUCUAUAUGUAACUUCUGAGUAAAACCAUAAAUAAAUCAAAACUUUCAACAACGGAUCUCUUGGUUCUGGCAUCGAUGAAGAACGCAGCAAAAUGCGAUAAGUAAUGUGAAUUGCAGAAUUCAGUGAAUCAUCGAAUCUUUGAACGCACAUUGCGCCCGCCAGUAUUCUGGCGGGCAUGCCUGUUCGAGCGUCAUUUCAACCCUCAAGCACAGCUUGGUGUUGGGACUCGCGUUAAUUCGCGUUCCCCAAAUUGAUUGGCGGUCACGUCGAGCUUCCAUAGCGUAGUAGUAAAACCCUCGUUACUGGUAAUCGUCGCGGCCACGCCGUUAAACCCCAACUUCUGAAUGUU